UCCCACAGGCUGUACUUGUUGAUGCCCCGCUGCGGUUGUGGUGUGGGGACAGCUUCCUCACAUGCCUUUCCCCAAGUGAGUGGCAGUGGCCCUCAUGAGGGUUUGGCAGCUCUUUACUGAAAGCGUUGGGGGAGGGGGAAAUGAAUGGUCGUUCCAAGGAGAGAGGAUGUGGGUUUUGUGCCCUUGGUCUAGUUUUCUUGCAGCACAGCUCCACUGUUUGCUGUCCAGGCUUUCCGCCACGUGGAUGCUUCCCAGGUCUCCUGUCUGCUCUCCCUGCAUGGACCUCUCUCUCCUUCCUCACACUCUGCUUCCCUUGUCUUGCAAAGCACUCUUUCUUUAACCCUUUCUCCCUCCUGUGUUCUUGGCUUGUCCAGCUCUGCUUCCCUACCCUCUUCAAUCUGGGUCCCCAGAUGCAUCAGUCUCUUCCUGUUGAACAGAUGUUGCCACCUAGUGUGUUGAAUUUGUUUUGUUUCUCCUCCAUCCAGUGACUGCUGCUCCACAAAGAGGUGUGAGUGGGUUCUGGCUGAUGUGCCUUCCCACCCCCGGAAAAACAGGACAGUGAGCUUUAGUCCCAUGGAGGGUAGAGGGCCCAUGGAGCUGCCAGGGCAAGGCUUUCCCUCUGGGCUGCAGCAGCUUCUCUCUGACAGUAGCCAGUCAAACAUCUCACUACAGUGCAGAUGGAUUUCGUUCCCAAAACUUCAUCUAGUGUGCAAAAAAUUUCAUAAUCUGUCUAUCAUGCAAUUUUGACCGCCUCCUUUUUUUAACAACCAGUACUAAAUACUUGGGACUUAUUAUACUAAAAUAUGCUUGCCCCAUUUUUAUCCUGACUUGCAUUGUAAACCACUCUGUUAACUGACUCUGGUUCGUAAGAAGCAGGAUGGCUCAAGAGGUGUGCGUGCUGCUUUUCGAAGUAGGUUAUUUGGGUUUGAAUGUCAGCUUCACCCCUUCACAGCUGGCUCAGCUCAGACAAGUGAUCUAAGCAUCCUGGAUCAACUUUCUCCAGCCCAUGGAAAUAUUGUAAAAUAAAAUAGACUUUAAAAGCAACAACAAAUGCAACAAAUGAAGCCACUUUGGAUUCUGAGGUGAACAGACCAACUGCAAAAAAAUUUUUUAUGACAAUUGGGGAAUUUUUAACAUAGAGUUGUUAUUAAAUCUUGUUAAGAAAUUAUUGUUCAAUUUUUUGCAAAUUUUAUGAUGGCAUGAUGGUUAUGUUUGAAAAAGUCCUCAUUAGCUAGCUGUGAGAUGUACUUAAAAAUACUUGUGCAAAAAAAAGAUUGAUAAAACAAUGUGGCAAACCACAUCCAUAAAUAGUGAGUCUAAAUAAUGGAUUUAAAGAGACUUAUUUUACUUCUUUUGUUUUUGUUUGAAAAUUUUCAUAAUAGUAAGCCUGUAGAAAAAGAUAUAUUCUUAUUAGAUGAUAUUUUUUAAAUCCAGCUCAAUGCUACUUUUAAAUAAUCAAGCUUAAGAAAAAGUAAAGCAGAAAAGUGGAUAAUAAAGCUGUGUAAAAAAAUAUAUUAGGAAAAUAGCCAAAUAAAGCUAUAAACAAUACUAUCAGGAAAAGGUGCUUUAAACACAAAAUUAUCAGUAGGGUUAAGGAAAGACACUGCUAAUGAUAAAAAGAAUGAUUCACCAAAAUAUGCAGUUGUCAUAAACUUAGAUGCACAAAGCAAAAUGAGACAGAAAUGAGUGUCAAAUCCAUAGAUAGAUGGGAGAAUUCUAACACAUUUCUCUCAAAGGUUGAGAUCAGUGGAGUUCCUGUCAUGGCUCAUCAGUUAAAGAACCUGACUAGUAUCCAGGAGGAUUCAGAUUCGAUCCCUGGCCUUACUCAAUGGGUUAAGGAUCCCGAGUUGCUGUGAGCUGUGGUGUAGGCCGGCAGCUAUAGCUCUGAUUUGACCCCUAGCCUGGGAACCUCCAUAUGCUGCAGGUGCAGCCAUAAAAAGACCAAAUUAAAAAAAAAAUUGAGAUCGAGAACAGAAAUUUGGUAAAGACACAAGAGAUUUAAAUAGAACAAAUACCAAAAUUGCCUAUAAAAUUCUGAACUAGGAAGUAGAGAACAUAAACCCUUUUCAAACACUCUGGAACGCUUAUGAGAAUUGACCACUUUCUAGGCUGUAAAGUUCCAACAAGGUGAUAACCUAUAAAACAGGUUUUUGACCACAAUGCAAUUAGAUUCAGUAUCAGCAAUAAAAAUGCUAAAGGGUGAAUCAUAGUGGAAGAUGUCAAUUUCUUAAAAAUCAUUUCCAAAGAAAGUUUUAAAAACUGGUAGGAUAUAUAUACAUAUAUAUAUAUAUAGGCAAGCAGUGUGCAGAGAAAAUUUACAACUUUAAAUGCAUGUAUUAAAAAACCAAGAAAAUUUACAUAAGAACAAGCUGAAUAUUCAACUCUACAAGUGAGAGCAGAAGACUACAGAGUAAAUACCAAAAAGAAGAAAGGAAAUAAUAAAGAUUGGACUAGAAAAUAAUUAAAAAGAAUAUGCAGACAUAGUCAAUAAUAUAAAAGCCAAUUCUUUGAAAAAACUAAAAAGUUAGAAAAUCUUGGAGUUCCUGUUGUGGCUCAGCAGUAACGCACCUGAAUAGUAUCCAUGAGGACGCGGGUUUGAUCCCUGGCCUCGCUCAGUGGGUUAAGGAGCUCAGCGGGUUAAGAGUGUUGCUCUGAGCUGUGGUAUAGGUCACAGACAUGGCUCCAAUUCGACCCCUAGCCUGGGAACUUCCAUAUGCCACAUGUGCAGACCUAAAAAGAAAAAAAAAAAGAAAAA
rnacentral:lncRNA from 1 species